AUUGAACGCUGGCGGAAUGCUUUACACAUGCAAGUCGAACGGCAGCACGGGGGCAGCCCUGGUGGCGGGUGGCGAACGGGUGAGUAAUACAUCGGAACGUACCCGGUCGUGGGGGAUAACGUAGCGAAAGUUACGCUAAUACCGCAUACGAGCUGAGGAUGAAAGCGGGGGACAUUCGGGCCUCGCGCGAUCGGAGCGGCCGAUGUCAGAUUAGGUAGUUGGUGGGGUAAAGGCCUACCAAGCCGACGAUCUGUAGCUGGUCUGAGAGGACGACCAGCCACACUGGGACUGAGACACGGCCCAGACUCCUACGGGAGGCAGCAGUGUGGACUUUUGGACAAUGGUCGCGAGCCUGAUCCAGCCAUUCCGCGUGCAGGACGAAGGCCUUCGGGUUGUAAACUGCUUUUGUACGGAACGAAAAGGCUCUGGCUAAGACCUGGGGCUCAUGACGGUACCGAAAGAAUAAGCACCGGCUAACUACGUG
rnacentral:rRNA from 1 species